rnacentral:rRNA from 1 species
UACGUAGGGUGCGAGCGUUAAUCGGAAUUACUGGGCGUAAAGCGUGCGCAGGCGGUUCGUUGUGUCGGCGGUGAAAGCCCCGGGCUUAACCUGGGAAUGGCCGUCGAAACUGGCGAACUGGAGUGUGGCAGAGGGGGUGGAAUUCCGCGUGUAGCAGUGAAAUGCGUAGAGAUGCGGAGGAACACCGAUGGCGAAGGCAGCCCCUGGGCUGACACUGACGCUCAGGCACGAAAGCGUGGGGAGCAAACAGG